rnacentral:rRNA from 1 species
GAACAAGCUACUUUUAAGGCGUGCGGCGGAUGCCUAGGCACUGGCUGGCGACGAAGGGCGCGGAAGGCCGCGAUAGGCCGCGGGGAGCCGUCUUCAGGCUUCGAUCCGCGGGUGCCCGAAUGGGGAAACCCGGCGCGAUAUGUCGCGUCGCCGGAGGGGGAACACAUGCCCCUCCGGAGCGAACCCCGGGAACUGAAACAUCUAAGUACCGGGAGGAGAAGAAAGAGAAUCGAUUCCGUCAGUAGUGGCGAGCGAAAGCGGAGGAGCCCAAAUGGGGAGGAAUUGCGCGAUUCGGAGGGGAACGGCCUGGGAGGGCCGGCCACAGAGGGCGACAGCCCCGUACCCCGAGAAGGACGCAUGUCUCCCCGAGAGAGUACGCCGGGUCACGAGAAACCCCGGCGGAAGACGGCGGGACCACCCGCCAAGGCUAAACACAGACCAGUGACCGAUAGCGAACGAGUACCGUGAGGGAAAGGUGAAAAGAACCCCGGGAGGGGGAUGAAAAGAUCCUGAAACCGCAUGCCGGCGACCGGACCGAGGGCGUCGAAGCCUGAGGUCGUGCCUAUUGAAGAAUGAGCCUGCGAGUUGUCGAUGCCAGCGAGGCUAAGCGGAAGACGCGGAGCCGCAGGGAAACCGAGCCCGAACAGGGCGCGAGUUGGCACCGGCAGACCCGAAACCCGGCGAUCUAGCCAUGGCCAGGAUGAAAGAGGGGCGAAACCCUCCGGAGGUCCGAACCGACGUUCGUUGAAAAGACCGCGGAUGAGCCGUGGCUCGUGGUGAAAUUCCAAUCGAGCCGGGUUAUAGCUGGUUCUCCCCGAAAUAGCUCUUGGGCUAGCCUCGGGGCUGUGCGCCGACGGAGGUAGAGCCACCGAUGGGGCGAGGGGCGCGUCGAACGCCUUCGAGCCCCGCCGAACUCCGAAUGCCGCCGGCGAAGCCCCGGGAGUCGGUCUGCGGGAGAUAAGUUCCGUGGACGAGAGGGAAAGAGCCCGGACCGCCGAUUAAGGCCCCAAAGUGCGCACCGAGUGCUGAGAAGGAGGUGGGGCGGCUCAAACAGCCAGGAUGUUGGCUCAGAGGCAGCCAUCAUUCAAAGAAUGCGUAACAGCUCACUGGUCAAGCCGCCCCGCGCCGACAAUUUACCGGGGCUAAAGCGCGCCGCCGAAAUCGCGGGAUCCGUAGGAUCGGUAGGGGAGCGUCGCCUGUGCGGCGAAGCGGGACCGCGAGGGCCCGUGGAGCGCAGGCGAGCGAGAAUGCAGGCGUUAGUAGCGACGGGGGGUGGGAAUCCCCCCAGCCGGAUGGCCGAGGUCUCCCGGGCGAGGUUCGUCCUCCCGGGGUCAGCCGGGGCCUAAGACGAGGCCGAGAGGCGCAGUCGAUGGGAAUGCGGCGAAGAUUCCGCAGCCCGUCCGCGUGGCGAUGACCGUGACGGGGGUGGCAAGGCAGCCCGGGCGAUCGGAAGAGCCCGGCGGCCGGCGCGCAGGGGCGGGGGAGCCAAAGCUCUUCCCCGCAUGCCCCAGGGCCGGACGGGAGGAAAGCGGGAGACCGCGAGUACGAAGGCGCCGGGUACACCCUCCAGGAAAAGCGGCUAGCGUCAGAGCGCGGGCGGCCCGUACCAAGAACGGACACACGUGGCCUGGGCGAGAAGCCCGAGGCUAGCGAGACAACUGUUGCUAAGGAACUCUGCAAGACUGCUUCGCAAGCUAGCGAGAAGAAGCGCCCGGGGGCGAACAGCCCCGCGGGCCGCAGCGAAGAGGCAGGGGUGACUGUUUACCAAAAACACAGCUCUGUGCGAAGCCGCAAGGCGACGUAUACGGGGUGAUGCCUGCCCGGUGCUGGAAGGUUAAGGGGAGGGGUCAGGCCGCAAGGCCGAAGCCCCGAGCCGAAGCCCCAGUGAACGGCGGCCGUAACUAUAACGGUCCUAAGGUAGCGAAAUUCCUUGUCGGGCAAGUUCCGACGCGCAUGAAUGGUAUAACAAUCCCUGCACUGUCUCGGCAGCAGACUCGGCGAAAUCGUAAUACCGGUGAAGAUGCCGGUUACCCGCGACUAGACGGAAAGACCCCAUAGAGCUUCACUGCAGGUCGGCGCUGGGCUGGCCAGCGGCUCGCACAGGAUAGGAGGAAGGCUUCGAUCCGGGACCCCUGGGCCCCGGGGAGUCGUCGUUGGGAUACCUCCCCUGCCGCUAGCCAUCCCUAACCGGGACCCUGGACGGGCCCCGGGACAGCGCCCGCCGGACAGUUUGACUGGGGCGGUCGCCUCCCAAAGAGUAACGGAGGCGUUCGAAGGUGCCCUCGGCACGGUAGGAAACCGUGCCAUCGAGUGCAAACGCAUAAGGGCGCCUGACUGCAAGGCCGGCAGGCCGAGCAGACGCGAAAGCGGGAGUUAGUGACCCGGCGGUUCCAGCGUGGAAUGGCCGUCGCUUAACGGACAAAAGCUACCUUGGGGAUAACAGGCUGAUCCGGUCCAAGAGUUCACUUCGACGACCGGGUUUGGCACCUCGAUGUCGGCUCAUCGCAUCCUGGAGGGGCAACACCUUCCAAGGGUUUGGCUGUUCGCCAAUCAAAGCGGUACGCGAGCUGGGUUCAAAACGUCGUGAGACAGUUUGGUCCCUAUCUGUCGUGGGCGUGGGAGGACCUAGGGGAUCCCCCCCCAGUACGCAAGGACCGGGGGGGACGAGGCUACGGUGCACCGGUUGGGACGCCAGUCCCACGGCCGGGCAGCCGCCCUCGGGACGGAUAAGCGCUGAGAGCAUCUAAGCGCGAAGCCGGCCCCGGGGUCAGUCCUCCGUUGGACAUGUUCCAUGAAGGGCCCGGGAAAGUACACCCGGUGGAUGGACGCCAGGCGCAGGCACCGCGAGGUGCACAGCCGUGGCGCUCCAAUGGCCCGAGACGCUUGUCGU